UUGGGUGCCUCAGUUUCCAUCUCAAAUCCUAUAAUACCAAAACAACCAUUAAGUCCAUUUUCAACGAGAGAUGCUGAUGCAUCGGACUAGUAGUCUGCAAAUUCUCAACAUUGAUAUCAUGAUUACUGCAGUUAUCAUACUAUAAUGAUAACAAUACCCCUUAUCAUUUUGUAACAGCCUCAAGAUUUAUACAAAAGAUUGAA
rnacentral:misc_RNA from 1 species